GUAUACAAAAUUCCAUCGAGUUUCAUUGGUUAGUAUUCAAAUGAGAGAGGAACUACCUUUGUAU